UACGGGGGGAGCAAGCGUUGUUCGGAUUUACUGGGCGUAAAGGGCGCGUAGGCGGUCGUGCAAGUCGGAUGUGAAAUCUCAGGGCUCAACCCUGAAACUGCAUUCGAUACUGCGCGGCUAGAGUGCUGGAGGGGAGACUGGAAUUUACGGUGUAGCAGUGAAAUGCGUAGAUAUCGUAAGGAAGACCAGUGGCGAAGGCGAGUCUCUGGACAGCAACUGACGCUGAGGCACGAAGGCCAGGGGAGCAAACGGG
rnacentral:rRNA from 1 species